UGCAUCGGCCGGGAAUCGAACCCUGGCCGCUCGCGUGGCAGGCGAGCAUUUUACCACUGAACCACCGAUGC
rnacentral:tRNA from 1 species